CCCACCCUUAGAUAGUUAGUUAGAUCGUUGAGCUUGCGGAGGCGAGUCAGAUAGAAGUUGGUCGAGUCAAGAGUCGUGGUCAGGUUUCCACUUAGAUCCAUCCUUGGAGAAAACUAGUCGGAUCGAGAUCAAUAGGCGGGAAAGGGUAGAUGUCGUUUUCUCGACGUUAAGGCCAAGGUAACCGUAGUUGAGAGUCCUUUUGGGAAAGCAUGGACGCUGCACACCGGUGUAGAGUUUGUUGCCUUUGCAAAAAAAUAUUUGGAAUAUUUAUUGUAUAACUCGAUUUGGGCAUUAGGCCUUGGCGCCAAACGCGUAUGUAAUUUAAGGUAU